AUGCGACAAAUGACGAUCAUUUCGGUUGGCAUUGUUGUGCUUGCCGCACUUGUUUUGGCAUCCGAGGGUCGCAUUGCCCGGAAGGACUUAGGCCUAGACCUUGGUGGUGUAGGCUUCAAGACCGGUACAGGUGUUAAUAUA
rnacentral:rRNA from 1 species